rnacentral:rRNA from 1 species
UACGUAGGGUGCAAGCGUUGUCCGGAAUUAUUGGGCGUAAAGAGCUCGUAGGCGGUCUGUCGCGUCGGCUGUGAAAACCCGGGGCUCAACGUGGAGGGGCCAUUCGAAACUGCCGUGACUCGAGUCCGGUAGGGGAGUGUGGAAUUCCCGGUGUAGCGGUGAAAUGCGCAGAUAUCGGGAGGAACACCAGUAGCGAAGGCGGCACUCUGGGCCGGUACUGACGCUGAGGAGCGAAAGCGUGGGGAGCAAACAGG